UGAGUUUCAUGGCCAUCUCUAACUAAGGACAGGACAUCGAUGUCAUCUGUAACUUCCGGUGCACUGGGGCACACAGCUGCAUCUCCCCAUGCUCACCUCCUGCCUCUUGCUCUGCCCAGUGUGAGGACUCAGCCUGGAUCACCUCCUCCAGGACAAGAACAACCUACCAUCAUCUGUCCGUCCAAUCUACCCACCCAUCCAUCUCUGCCUCUGGCCAUGCAUCCGUCCGUCCAUCCAUCCCCGCCUCUGUGCAUGCAUCUGUCCAUCCAUCCCCGCCUCUGUGCAUGCAUCUGUGCAUCCAUCCAUCCCUGCCUCUGUGCAUGCAUCUGUCCAUCCAUCCCCGCCUCUGUGCAUGCAUCUGUCCAUCCAUCCCCACCUCUGUGCAUGCAUCUGUCCGUACAUCCAUCCCUGCCUCUGUGCAUGCAUCUGUCCAUUCAUCCCUGCCUCUGUGCAUGCAUCUGUCCAUCCAUCCAUCCCCGCCUCUGUGCAUGCAUCUGUCCAUCCAUCCCUGCCUCUGUGCAUGCAUCUGUCCAUUCAUCCCUGCCUCUGUGCAUGCAUCUGUCCAUCCAUCCAUCCCUGCCUCUGUGCAUGCAUCUGUCCAUUCAUCCCUGCCUCUGUGCAUGCAUCUGUCCAUCCAUCCAUCCCUGCCUCUGUGCAUGCAUCUGUCCAUUCAUCCCUGCCUCUGUGUAUGCAUCUGUCCAUCCAUCCAUCCCCACCUCUGUGCAUGCAUCUGUCCAUCCAUCCCCGCCUCUGUGCAUGCAUCUGUCCGUCCAUCCAUCCCUGCCUCUGUGCAUGCAUCUGUCCGUCCAUUCAUCCCUGCCUCUGUGCAUGCAUCUGUCCAUUCAUCCAUCCCUGACUCUGUGCAUGCAUCUGUCCAUCCAUCCAUCCUUGCCUCUAUGCAUGCAUUUGUCCGUCCAUCCAUCCCUGCCUCUGUGCAUGCAUCCAUACCUGCCUCUGUGCAUGCAUCUGUCAGUCUAUCAAUCCCCGAUCCCUUCUUUGUAAUGGUGUUGAGCGCUCACAACUCCCUCAUCCUAAGACGCUCGUUGGAUCCAUUCCCUCCCCUCACCCCAUGCUGCUCUCUGCCCUCCCUUCCCGGUCAAGUUCUCCAGCCAGUGGUCUCAACUCAAUCUUCACUUCCCCCGCUCCUCUCACACCUAUCCCCACUGCAUUCUAAAUUCUUCCCCAACGCGCUGGGCCUACAGGCACUAAAAAGGUCACUUUGUCCCUGGAUGACCAAACACAGGCCAAUGUAACUUACUGGGCUUGUUUUGCCCCAGCCACAGCUGACCACUUCCUCCUUCACUCUUGUUGUUGAUCACCUUUGGGCUUAGUCUUUCUCCAUCUCUGUUGAGUCCUUCUCCCCUGCCACCUACUCCUUCAUGCUGGGGUUCUCUGUAGCUCUGUACCUGACAGUCACGUUCCACCCUUUCCUCCCAGAAGCUCGCCAACCCCCGUGGACUGCUGGCUCUCAAGGCGGCCGCUAGCCCAGCUCCGACAGCAGCUGACAAUGCACAGUAUGCGGCCCAGGGCAGGCCCUGUGCUGAGAGGCAUGGGUGAAUGGCUCAUUUCAUCGGCAAGCCCACGCCACCAGCAGGCGCCGUUCUCCU
rnacentral:lncRNA from 1 species